UGGUGGUGGUGGUGAUGGGGUGGACUAACCGUCUGUUAUUUCUGCCCCGACGGAGGAGGCAAAACCGCAGCAAACUAACGCGUGCCCAGCGGAGGACGGAGCUAGCAUGACGGCUGAAGUGAUUAGCGGUAUCCUGGUAACCCACCGACCAGCUGAUGUCACUGCUCUCCAUAAUGAAGUGUGAGUGUAUCUGGCUGCCUUUGUCAAUAAAGCAGGCGGGGAAAUUCACAGGAGAUAAGACCUGACAGCGAAGGCCACGUCUGCCAUGAUGUGAUUCAAAUCUCUUUAUUUUUAGAAGAUCUUCCACACAAAGCGGCUACCCCUAAAUUAUUCAGCUAAGGA